CACGACGGGAACUCCGUCUCCUUAGAAGUUUAAAAACUGGAAGCUGGAUCCUUGCUCCGUAGCAAGACUGGCCCUCAGGGUAGAGUGACCUGGAAUUGUGUGAAAAAAUAUCUUCCAACAUAGCUUUGAUUUUUUUGAUUUUUUGAAAGCGUUUCCAUCUGGCCUUCUGUACUCUAAUUUUCUGACUCUAAAUAUUUGAAUUUUGCAUGUGUUCUCUCUUAAACAGCAGAGCCUCAACUCACGAAACAGAAUUUUUUUUUUUUUUUUUUUUUGCUGGGGGAUCCUACACUGUAUUUCUUUUCAGAGCCCGGAGCUCCCAGACGCCAUCUCCCCUUGAACAGCAAAGGCAUGCUCCUUGCUGCUAGGAAGUUUAUGAUUGUUUAAGCAGGGUUCACUAAAAUGAUGAUAUAAGCUCCCUGAUUAAAUAACUUCCCCCAGGACUUUCAGAAAUGAAGGAAACGAAUGAUUUACCCAGUGUAAAAUACACGUGUAAUGCCAUGUCUUGCUGCAUAAUAAAAGCACUUCAUGGAGUUCCCGUUGUGGCGCAGUGGUUAACAAAUCGACUAGGAACCAUGAAGUUGCGGGUUCGGUCCCUGCCCUUGCUCAGUGGGCUAACGAUUUGGCGUUGCCGUGAGCUGUGGUGUAGAUUGCAGAUGCGGCUGGGAUCCUGCAUUGCUGUGGCUCUGGCGUAGGCCGGUGGCUACAGCUCCGAUUCGACCCCUAGCCUGGGAACCUCCAUAUGCCGCGGAAGCGGCCCAAAGAAAUAGCAAAAAGACAUAAAAAAAAAAAAAAAAAAAAAGCACUUCAACAGAAGCCUCUAAGAGAUCCCUUUCCACCAAGGCAGUGCCCUAGAUCAAGUGUGGAUUUGCUGGUGGUGAGGGCAGCGGGGGGCAUAGAAGGGACCUGAAGAUCAAUAUGUCCAGCUUCUCCCUUGAACUACGCAUCUCUGAGGCUGUGAGGGAGGAGCUCAGCUUUCCCAUGUGUCUCUCAGGUCUGCAGAUCAUGCUCCUUUGUUCAUUUCAAGAAAAGGUAAUUUCAACUCUGCACUGGUCCUAUUGAUACCUACCAACGGUGGUGGAGAUUAUUGUUUUUGUGGCUACUCUUCACUUCUACCUCCAUUUUCCUUUGGGGAACCAUCCUACCAUCCCUCUCAGUCCAUGUGGUUGGGGAAUUAUUGAUAAUCAGCCUAAGCUACAGAGAUGUGCAAAUGCCUCAUGCCUGGCUAAAUGGAAUAUGUCCUCUCAGCCAGUGAUUAGUUCAGGGUGGGCUAAUGUCCCAGUCAGAACCAAUGUGAUGGACUCUUUGGAUAAUUGCAGGAUAUGUUGAGAGAAAGAUGUCUUUCUCUGUUUAUGUGCCUUGAAAUUUUGGGAAUGCAAGCUUAGGGUUGCUGGCAGCCACUUUGUCAUCAUGAGGGGGUAUUCACUGUGUGUGGCAUCAAUACAUGGGACUCCAGUAGCAUGAUAAAUGCUCAUGAAAAACAAACAAUUUUCAGAAUAAAGUACAAAUGCUAGUAUGCUAACAGAGAUCUGCUAAUCUUGUUUUUUUUUUUUUUUUUUUUUGGUCUUUUUUCCUUUGAGGGCCACACCCACAGCAUAUGGAGGCUCUCAGGCUAGGGGUUAAUCGGAGCUGCAGCUGCCAGCCUACACCACAGCCACAGCAACCUGGGAUCCAAACUGCUUCUGCGACCUACACCACAGCUCACAGCAACACUGGAUCCUUAACCCACUGAGGGAGGCCAGGGAUUGAACCUGCAAUCUCAUAGUUCUAGUUGGAUUCAUUUCUGCUGCACCACGAUGGGAACUCCAUGCUAAUCUUAUUCUUAAGUUUUCAUUUCUUUGCCUCUGCUGCCACUGUUGAGAGCUUAUUCUCCUUUUCCAUGCCUUAUGGCUUCUGCUUACCCAUGGCUUUUAAUUACUGCUUUCUCUGUGUGUGUGUCUUGACUUCUGUACUCUUUGGUCCUGUCUCUCAUAUUCAACAAAAUCAAGAAGGUCUGAUUAGGUUAUUCACCAACCGGUACAGAAGCUGUACAUAUAUCAAAUAUAUAUAUGGAUGUAUGUAUGUAUACAUAAAUAUAAAUACAUAUUUAUCCAUGUAAUUUGGGAAGGAAAACCUUCUGCCCUUUAGGUUCUGUAACUGGGCCUGAAAAUUAAACUAAGACAAAUUAGCAAGAGAAAAGCAUGUAAGUUUUAUCGAAUAUUCUUACACAGGAGUCUUCAUAAGGAAAACAAAGAUCCCAAGAAGUGAUUUAGGACCUAAAGCUUACACAUCAUCUUAGAAAAACAAACAAACAAUAAAUUGUGGAGAUGGCCCUAGAAAAAGGGGCUUGGUAAAUUGUGGGAUAGUGAUCAGGGAAUAUUGGGGGGGAAACGGAUGGAAAUCAGGGUUGUUUUCAUUGGUUUGUACAGACGCAUUUAGGGGUAAACCAUGAUCUCCAGCGAUAAGAACAUUCUUCUCUUCUUGGUGCAGGAAAGGCAGGAAAUCUUCUGACUUGCCUUUAGAUAGAAAGGCGGAGGCCGAGAGCCUUUCCUGCAUCUGUAGUUUCUCAAGUGCCUUCUGCUCAAAAUAAUCAAUAUGCCAAGGUGGCAGUGUUGCAGGAUGACAGGUUUUGAACCCCUUCAAUACUUGAAAAAUAAUAUGUAGGUAGAGUAUAUACUUUAAAAUUAUUAUCAACCACCUGCUCUAUGCUAGGCAUUGUUUCAUGCAUGUUAACCCAUAUUCACUCCUUUUAUUCUCACAAAACCCCACCAGGUAAGAACUACUAUUAUGUUCAUGUUAUGGAUGAGGAAACCUUAAAAUUUAAAUAACUGGCCUGAGGUCACAUAGCUAGUAAGCAGAAGAGCAGUAUUCCAAGCAUUAACUUUUCCUGAUUUAACCUUUUCUCUAUAACAACCCCGCUUACUCAGCAUGUCACAUCAUAGGCGUCAGCUUCCUUCCUGCCCCAUCUGUGAACAGGGCUUCUUUCUGUGUCAGGGGCCAGGGACUGGUCCCUCUGCCCAGUGUGUAUAGUGGCCAGUUGCUAGGGAAGGGCUUCUGCCCUCUUUGGGCUCUUCCUCAGCCAUCAUGAGAAAAAUGUCACUUAAGCAGUUGUUUUCUCUUUCAAUAGGAUACUUGGUUAAAACAGAACUUCCUCUUACAGGAUUGGGGGCACGUUGCAAGCUGCUUCCCUUCCCCUCUCCCCACCCCCACCCCCCACCGUGGCCAGACCACCAGUCCUCUCUCCCUUCUCAUCACAUUUCUUUUCCUCAUAACAUUUAGCAUAAUGCUUACGGCUCCUCCUCCUCCUCCUUCUUAUUACUGGCCUGUGUGAUUAUCCCUCUAAAAUGUAUCUCCUCUGUUUCCACGAGGAUGGGACAUAUCAUCUGUCCAUCCAUGCUGAAUCAUCAGCAGGUUCCGGCCAUGGUUAGCCAUCCAUAAAUAAGGUUUUUCUAUGAAUACAUGAGCCAAGAUGGAUGAAUGAAUUCCUUAUCUGGGUUUCUCCUUGAGAGAAAGGAAAGUCAAAAAUAGAAGUGAAAGGGGAAAUCCUCAAGAAUGAAAGCAGUGAUUUAGGAAGACAAAGAAAGCAACCCUUUAGAGUUCAGUGUCAGCUAUGGCAGCCAGACCAUGCUGGACCUGAUCUUUGGUUAACAUGUAGAUGCUCUAUGAAUAACGUGACUCUAUGGCUCUGUUUGCUCGUGACAGUCCUGCUUUGCCCCUUGACCUGGCAUCCCCUCUGGCUUAGCACUUGUCUGGGUUAAUGCGAUUACAUCUAAAAGACGGUCAUUGGUGACUUGUCUCCCUUUCCCUGACUCCUUCUGGGCAUGAGGUUAAUGACACCUCCCCUUCAAGGAAGAUACACCAGGGCUUUCUGAUCACACUAUGUGUGUCAGACACAGGCCCCGACCCCCAGGUUCUCCAUAUUGGACGGUCGUGGAAGAAGCACUCCAUGUUACUGCCUCUUUUGAUGGGAAAAAAAGAAAAAAAGAAAAACGAUUGCUUGCUCUCUUAAAAAAUAAAAUAAAAUAAAAUUGGUGCACUAGCCAAAUGUGCCACAGACCUACCAUUGGUUUUAACAUGUACAAAGUAGUAGUUGAAAUUGGGGGGUUGGAGGGAAAUAAGGGAAAAUUUAGGUUAGAUGAGUGUGAAAAAUCUGUGAGAAAUCAUGCCUCCUUUCAUCUUUAAAAGUAUACAUUGUAUGGAUAACUUACCUAGAAACCUCAUUCAUCUCUAUUUUUAAUUUCAUUUUCCCCUUACAUUUUUUUGGUGAAUAUUUGUGUUUCUGAAAACUCUGCUUAUAUAUGGACUCUUAAGCAUCCAAGGAGUUCCCGUUAUGGCUCAGUGGAAACAAAUUUGACUAGCAUCCAUGAGGAUACAGGCUCAAUCCGUGGCCUUGCUCACUGGGUUAAGGAUCUGACCUUGUCGUGAGCAGUGGGGUAGGUUGCAGACGUGGCUCAGAUCCUGAAUUACUCUGUCAGUGGUGUAGGCCAGCGGCUACAGCUCUGAUUCGACCCCUAGGGAACCUCUAUAUGUCAGCCCUAAAAAGACAAAAAAAUAAAAAAUAAUUAAAUGGACUCUUAAGUAUCUAGGAUAAGAUUCCAGGGCUAUAGAUAGAUACUGAGCUUCAACAGGCCUGGGUGGAGCCAGACUCUGCAUUUUCAGUGGGUUUGCUCCAGAUUUCUUGCCCUAGGGAUCUACAGAACCGCCUUGGAGAAAAGCAUGUGUGUCCACAGAGGGGCAGCACUUUCCAAGGGGUAGGUGUGGUGGUAGUGAGACUCCUGGGCCUGAGUUCAGAUCCAGGCACCCUGAAGGAGAGGAAAGAGGUCAGCGUAGGAAGGAGGGAGCCAGGACCAGUCUUUCCAACUCCUGCUAAUUCCUGUCUUGGUUCUGGAGGAUCUUUGAGCAGGAUAAUGCUUCCAUGAGCUGAUAUGUGGCAUAUACAUGACUUUACUUAUAUCAACUCCUUGCCCAACAGCAAGCACACUUUGUGACUUUUCUUCCUGAAGCUCAGGUCACGAUGAUGAGACCCUGAUCUGGUGAGAUACCACCCAUGUUCCUGACCUGGACAGUUGUGCUUUCCUCAAGCUGCUGUGGAUUUGCUAAACACGGAAGAGUAGAAGUGUGUUGUGGGAGUUCCCACCGUGGCUCAGUGGGUUGAAGACCUGAAGUUGUCUCUGGGAGGACAUGGGUUGGAUCCAUGGCCUUGCUCAGUGGGUUACGUAUCCAGGGUUGUCACAAGCUGUGGUAUAGUUUGCACAUACAGGUCAGAUCCUGUGCCUGUGGUGUAGAUCUGUAGCUGCAGCUCUGAUUCGACCCCUAGCCUGGGAACUUCCAUAUGCUGCAGGUGCAGCCAUAAAAUGAGGAAAAAAAGAAGAAGCAUUUUGUGUGUGCGUGUGUGAUGUGUGUGUGUGCAGUCACAUAUGCAAUGGCAGCUGAAGAGAAUGAUAUGGCCCCAAACCCCCAGCGAUGAUACUGACAAAGAUUCUUCGCUUGACUAAACUUAAAUCAAGCUCCCUAACCUUUUCCUAGGGCCAUCUGUGCGCAUUUUUGUAAAAUCUAGUUUUAGCAAGAACCAUACUAAUUCAAUUUAGUAAGCGUUUUCCAUCCAUCUUUUCUUAUCACCUGUCAAUAUCAGAUUGAUUUCCUUAUCCUCCACCAUCCCCCAGGCCUGUGUUCAGCAACGGUCCUCUUAGCUGGGUUUAUCCAGAAUAGUCCUUCCUCCUGAUGUUUCCUCUUAGUAAUUCUCCAUCUGCUGACCUCACUCUGCUCCUUGUCUGUAAAUCCCUCCUUACCCCUGGUGUCUUCAGAAUGGAGCUUUGUUCUGUACUGAGGUCUCUCUUCCCCUAUUGCAAUAGUCCUGAAUAAAAUCUACUUUCACGGCUCUAACCUCUGCCCAGCUCUGGUUUCUCUUUAACGAUACUGAUGUUUACACAGAGAUAAUAUGGACAAGAUGGAUAUGUUUAGUCUCAGUGGGUUGGAAAUAAAAAACUUGGUUGUGUAUAUAAAUACAUAAAAUUCAGUAUAGAUUUUCUUUUAGAAGGUACAAUUUUCUCUGUGAUCGGAGAACAUCCUGUUUUUUAAAAAAGUCAAUCCAUCUGCUGAACUUGCCAUGCCUAGGAGAAACUGUUCCCAGCUGGGUUCAUUCUCACUAGUUUCAAGCCAUUGUAUGUACUGAAUUGGUUUUCAACAAUAACACCUACAAAAAUCUACUUUGCUUCUUUCCAAAACGUCUAGCUUAGAGUCUUCCUCGAAUGUUAUGGUGCCCAGGUGGUACAAAAGUAAAGCAAGACACUUGGUCCCUGGAUGGUGUCACUCAGUCUCUCCACCAUCUCAGGUGUGUGCCAUCAGCAUGGCUGGCCACCCAGAAACAAGACAGGCACACACAGCUAGUGUUUGAGAAUUCUGCAACAUAUUUCUGC
rnacentral:lncRNA from 1 species